rnacentral:lncRNA from 1 species
GUUACAAUAACUUCCAGUGAAUUUGCCCGCUAGGCGCUAGUUAACGUUAGCAGACGUUGGCUAGGCGCUAGUUAACGUUAGCAGACGUUGGCUAGGCGCUAGUUAACGUUAGCAGACGUUGGCUAGCUAGCUAGCAUAUUUUAGCCAGCAACGUUAAGGCUAUAGCUUAUUCGUAGACAGUAAUAUAGUGCAAGGACUGACAUUGGAUACAGUAGCUCAGGACAACGCAUGUUUAUAGGAAAAGUUACUUUGAAAAACGUGUUAGACCGCUCAAAGAUCGGCGUCCUCCCAUGACAAGUACUAACGUUAGCCAUCCAGUUCAACCUACAAUCAAAACAAACUUUUGUAACCUUCUAAACAUCUUUGCUGCAAUCACCACUUUUGUUUAGUUGGCUAACAACAAACAUUGGGAAAGCUGUAGCCUAAGUGGGCAACCGUAUAGCUAGCUAGUUUUUGAGCUGGUUAUAGCUAGGUAACAUUAACUUAACUACAUACAGCUGAAGUAUUUAGCUAGCAUAUUUGAGGCCUUGGUGUGUAUAAUUGUGUGUUUGGUGACUGUAGAACAUAACUGACUUAGCUAUCUAGCGCAAUGAUUGAACAUUCAUUCUAAAUGGUCUCCAUUUAUUUGUAUUUAAAAAGGAACAAAAUGGCGUUGCAAUACAAAGUAGUUAACUAGUAAUUGUGUGUUGAUACUGACAGCUGUCUUCUUCAUUAUGUUCCUGACCAGGAUGUCUGAUGAAGAAGAUGCUCCGGGCUGACCUCCAGGCCAAUAAGAACGGGGUGUCCAUCAGGCGGAAUACAGGUCCCUGACCGAAAGCUGGGCUACCCUUCACUGGAGUGCUUCCUCCCAGCAUCCCCUCUGUGGUCAGGAUGGAGAAUUGCAUUGGGGAGAUAAUGUGCCUCGCUGCAGUCUGUCAAGAAACGGCCCACAUCGCUCAGCUGGUCGCCCGUCAGAAGUCCAGCAAGAGGGCGCCUGGCAGCUCCCAGAUGCUGAACUGUCAGAUGACGUCGAAAUUGGCUUCAAACUUUGUGUUCUAUGGUAGGUCUCGUCUGUCCUUGUCACAGUCAGUGUCAUCUGACAAUGGCUCUUUUUCUGAAUGUGUCUUU